CCUACCAAUAACUUCAGC
rnacentral:siRNA from 1 species